UGCCUUUAAAUAUAUUGGCUGGUAUCUCCAGACACGCAUUAAAAAUAAAUAGUUAAUAAAGGUGUUUUGACUGGAGCAUCUGCUGCAGUUCUUGGUUGUGGAGGCUUAAUUGCAGACUAGAGUAUCAAACUUUCAGAAGGUCUGAGGACAGAGAUAGAUUGGGGUCAUCAGGUUAUUUGGAAUAAAAUCCCAACCUUUAUCUCUCAAAUGCAGUGUCCAAUUGAUUUUCUCUGGACCAUUAGACACCACACACUUGCCAUGAAGCCCAAGAGGGGAGUGGAAAAACAUCACACUCUCCAAGAUCCUUUUGAAGCAAAAUACUGCAGUCCCUUGCGGGCUCUUUGGGAGGUACAGCUUUUCCCCUUAAGUACCAAAGAACUGCGGAUAAAACCACCAUGGCAAACACUCAGUCAUUUUCCAAACUUCUACUCUAUCCAGAGAGGUACCCCCAGAACUGUGUUUGCAGAGCACCCAGCCACAUGUUGUGGGCCUGCAUGAUUAAAAACACCAACCGCUGUUCAGACAAAUCGAGCAUUUCCAUAUAAACUGCUGAAUUCCAUUUAUCCCGGCAUUUCACCCUGCAAAACUGGGAAAAGCUUCAAUGUGUGAGCAGAGCUGGCAGAGAUAGAACUGCAUGUGAUACAAUUUGCCUAACAGGAAAAUACUUUAACGUUAGAGAGACCUCUUCACACCAAAGCUGUGGCUCGUUAUCUACCAAGUCCCAGGCAGCUUGGAUUUGCCAAUCAAAUAAUUUUUAAUCAAAUUGCCAACACCAGCUCUGAUUGUCCUUUCCCACGCAGCCUGGAGCUUUGCUGCUCUGGGGGAAGAAGACUUUUUUUAUCCCAGCUAGCCACAUCCUCUUGCCACUGUAGCUCAGACUUUCUGAGGGGCUUUCCUGGCAUCCUUGUUCCGUUGAUGAGUUUUCUCUCUUUUCCCUAGUUUCCUGAUGGGAGCAGGCUGGGGUGCCACUGCCCCAGGGACAGGUUUGUGCAGACCUGGGUGAAGUCCAGGCUGGGAGGGGUGGUGGGCAAAGUGGAACGGUUCACUUGGAACCCUUCUGGCAUGUUUUGUUCUGCAGCCCCUAAUCCUUCCUGGUGUGCUUCUUGCUUUUAUGGUCUUCCACCUGCUUCAGGUUUGGGGAAUGCAGCUUUCCCUUGCGUCUCCAUUGAUUUACCAGCUCUAGGGUUUGGCUGUUGCCCUGGGUAAUUGGCAGCAGUGACAUUUUGGGCUGAAUUUUAUUGUACGCGUUGAGAAAAGUCAGCAAACAGAGUUGAGUGCUGUGUCAAGUAUUGCCUUUGACUUUCUGUUGCAGCCAUUUAGGGUCUGUUUUGUCCUUGGACUGAGAAAGCCUCUGUUCUGGUUGAGCCUUUGUCUGAGAUGCUGGAGGUUAGUCUGAGGAGAGCAGUCUGAGAGACCCCACUAAUCCCUUUUUACUUUAUGAACAAGAAAGUCAAGUGUUUUUUAUAAUAAUAAUAAUUUGAGCUAAUAAGUAACAUGCUGGCUGGAGCUGCAGCUGCCUGGGGUGGAGCAGAUUUGUUUUUUCUGUCUAAUUAGAAAGAUUUAGCUAAUGUCACACAUGUCUUCAUUUGCAGAUUUUCUGGAGAGGUCUGGCCUCUCACAGCUAAAUCAACGCGGGUGCAGGAGCCAGGCACCAUCAGUGGCCUCCACCACCCCAGAGCUUAGCCCCCUCCCCUCGCUUAUGCCAUACAAACUUCUCUCUGAGCAUUUUCAGAAGGACCUGAGGCUCUGGUGUGGCCCCGAGGCAGCACCCACCCAUGAACCAGCCAGAGGUGCUUUGUGCGAGUAAGUUCUUCUUUCUGUGGGUAGAAAUGUUUAUUUUAUUAUUCCUUUAAUUCCUCCACGCUGCAUUCCUGCCUCAUCAAAACGCAUUAGCAAUCUAAAUCUUCAUCAGUGAGGGAGGUCUCGCUUCCUUUGAGGGAUAACAAUUCUUUAAGUCUGUGGGAAGAUUAAAAGUGUGGUACUAAGUAAAAGAAUCAUACAGCUGGGGAAGGCAAAUGCCCGUAACUGUGUUCAUUAACAAUAUUGUAUAUCAUCUAAAUGAAAGAAUGUUUAAAGGCUUAAUGAUUUCCUUCUCACUGAUACGUGCUGUUCAGUGCCAGCUCAGACAACGAAGAAAGACGAUCCUAUUUUACAUCUGCCCUGAUUUGCUGGUUAGUUUGCAAACAUUUUAGGGAAGUGUUCAGAAAACCUGAUUUUUGGUGGAAGUUGAAGGGGAAAAAAGUAUUUUCUAUUGAGUGAUUUUUACAAUAAGAUUAACUUCAGAAAACCUCAACAUUGGCCCUUGCUGGCCUUGACAAUGGGCCCCUUUUGAAAAGGUAAUACAGCUAUCUAUGAUUAGCCACGGCUAGUUAAUAACUCAUCUGUUCAUGUCCGGGCCCACAAAUGGAAGGUUUCAAUGUACAAGGAACCAAGGUUAGGCCAACAAGGAUAAAAUCAUGUCUAUUUUAGUUUAAUGAAUUCCAUUUCCUUUGUUGCUGAGUUUUAUUUGGACAGUCAGAUGGAUAGCUGGGCUUUCGGACCGCUUUCAGAAGGGUUUCCUGCAGAGCAGCGGCUUGGGCUCCUUCCAUGAGCCUCUCUGACCAUAACAUCAUUGCAGAAAAUGGGUUGUGCAAAGCUGGUUGAGCUCUGCAAGUCUUACUGCAGAAGCCUACAAAUAAUUGGUGUGACUCUUCUGGUAUUUGCCGAUGUUUCAGCAUGCUGCUUGCAGUGUGAGCUCCAGAAGGUGCUUCCUGAGCCAUUCCUGGGGAUGCCUGCCUGGUUGUGUGGGAAACAGAAAGAAGGGUACCAGUUCGUGGAGCCCACAAAUGCUCCUCCCUCCCCGCCCAAUUCGGGAGGUGUCACCACAGAACGGAUGAAGAUCCCACACCCAGCAUGACUUACGCAAUGAGGAGUAAAAUGGAUAAACACUUCAGCCCCUUCUCUGCAGCAGCAGCCAGGGAACAGCUGAAAGAGCCUGGCUCCUGCAAGGAGCUUGGAGGGAGAGCAGCCAUCA